CGAACUGGGACACUUUCGAAGUACUGAGAAAGUCUACAUCACUGUUUUAGAAUUCUUUUCACAUUAGUACUACUUGGCAUAAUGUAUAUGGGACAGAAGCACGUUAGAUUUGGCAAGAUAAUCAAGUUUUGCGGAUUUCUAUUAGUUUAUUACUUAAUACGCGAACUUGGAAUGUACAAAUUAUCAUUAGAUCCAAAGCUUCAAUUACCGCUCUGCAGUCACUUUGGGGAGAGUAUUUCUUCUCAGGGAUUAAUUUAAUCUGAUGCCACUUGGUAAAUCGUUAGUGACUCAAUCGUCAUGGACCGAGGAUAAGUGAACACUGAUAUGUAUUUCGGCAAUAUUGUUACACUGAGGAUGACUUCAGAGCGAGUCGAAACUGUUCACAGGUUAUCAUGAGGAAUCAGUUUGCAGCGAUCACGGAGAUCAA
rnacentral:lncRNA from 13 species